rnacentral:rRNA from 1 species
AUUGAACGCUGGCGGCAGGCCUAACACAUGCAAGUCGAACGCGUGGCGGACGGGUGAGUAAUGUCUGGGAAACUGCCUGAUGAAGCGGGAUAACUACUGGAAACAGUAGCUAAUACCGCAUACCAUCGGAUGUGCCCAGAUGGGAUGAGCUAGUAGUUGGGGUAAAGGCUCACCUAGGAGACGCUACCUAGCUGGUCUGAGAGGAUGACCAGCCACACGGGAACUGAGACACGGUCCAGACUCCGACGGGAGGUAGCAGUGGGGAAUAUUGCACAAUGGGCGCAAGCCUGAUGCAGCCAUGCCGCGUGUAUGAAGAAGGCCUUCGGGUUGUAAAGUACUUUCAGCGGGGAGGCGUUACCCGCAGAAGAAGCACCGGCUAAUUCCGUGCCAGCAGCCGCGGUAAUUC